UACGUAGGGAGCAAGCGUUGUCCGGAAUCAUUGGGCGUAAAGCGCGCGUAGGCGGCCUCGUAAGUCCGUUGUGAAAGUCAAAGGCUCAACCUUUGAAAGCCGAUGGAUACUGUGAGGCUAGAGUCCGGAAGAGGCGAGUGGAAUUCCUGGUGUAGCGGUGGAAUGCGCAGAUAUCAGGAGGAACACCAAUAGCGAAGGCAGCUCGCUGGAACGGUACUGACGCUGAGGCGCGAAAGCGUGGGGAGCGAACAGG
rnacentral:rRNA from 1 species